rnacentral:misc_RNA from 1 species
GAUGAAGAACUUAGCGAAAUGCGAUACGUAAUGUGAAUUGCAGAAUUCAGUGAAUCAUCGAAUCUUUGAACGCAUAUUGCGCUCUUUGGUAUUCCGAAGAGCAUGCUUGUUUGAGUAUCAGUAAACACCUCAAAGCUUUUGGAUUUUUUAAUCGAAAAGCUUUGGACUUGAGCAAUCCCAACACCAAUCUUUUUGAGAUCGGUGGCGGGUUGCUUGAAAUGCAGGUGCAGCUGGACAUUCUCCUGAGCUAAAAGCAUAUUCAUUUAGUCCCGUCAAACGGAUUAUUACUUUUGCUGCAGCUAACAUAAAGGGAGUUUGACCGUAUUGGCUGACUGAUGCAGGAUUUCACAAGGGUCGGCAACGAUUCUUGUUAAACUCGAUCUCAAAUCAAGUAAGACUACCCGCUGAACUUAAGCAUAUCAAUAAGCGGAGGA